AGAGUUUGAUCCUGGCUCAGGAUGAACGCUAGCUACAGGCUUAACACAUGCAAGUCGAGGGGCAUCAGGAAGAAAGCUUGCUUUCUUUGCUGGCGACCGGCGCACGGGUGAGUAACACGUAUCCAACCUGCCCUUUACUCGGGGAUAGCCUUUCGAAAGAAAGAUUAAUACCCGAUGGCAUAAUGAUUCCGCAUGGUUUCAUUAUUAAAGGAUUCCGGUAAAGGAUGGGGAUGCGUUCCAUUAGGUUGUUGGUGAGGUAACGGCUCACCAAGCCUUCGAUGGAUAGGGGUUCUGAGAGGAAGGUCCCCCACAUUGGAACUGAGACACGGUCCAAACUCCUACGGGAGGCAGCAGUGAGGAAUAUUGGUCAAUGGGCGCUAGCCUGAACCAGCCAAGUAGCGUGAAGGAUGAAGGCUCUAUGGGUCGUAAACUUCUUUUAUAUAAGAAUAAAGUGCAGUAUGUAUACUGUUUUGUAUGUAUUAUAUGAAUAAGGAUCGGCUAACUCCGUGCCAGCAGCCGCGGUAAUACGGAGGAUCCGAGCGUUAUCCGGAUUUAUUGGGUUUAAAGGGAGCGUAGGUGGACUGGUAAGUCAGUUGUGAAAGUUUGCGGCUCAACCGUAAAAUUGCAGUUGAUACUGUCAGUCUUGAGUACAGUAGAGGUGGGCGGAAUUCGUGGUGUAGCGGUGAAAUGCUUAGAUAUCACGAAGAACUCCGAUUGCGAAGGCAGCUCACUGGACUGCAACUGACACUGAUGCUCGAAAGUGUGGGUAUCAAACAGGAUUAGAUACCCUGGUAGUCCACACAGUAAACGAUGAAUACUCGCUGUUUGCGAUAUACAGUAAGCGGCCAAGCGAAAGCAUUAAGUAUUCCACCUGGGGAGUACGCCGGCAACGGUGAAACUCAAAGGAAUUGACGGGGGCCCGCACAAGCGGAGGAACAUGUGGUUUAAUUCGAUGAUACGCGAGGAACCUUACCCGGGCUUAAAUUGCAGAUGAAUUACGGUGAAAGCCGUAAGCCGCAAGGCAUCUGUGAAGGUGCUGCAUGGUUGUCGUCAGCUCGUGCCGUGAGGUGUCGGCUUAAGUGCCAUAACGAGCGCAACCCUUACGGGUAGUUACCAUCAGGUUAUGCUGGGGACUCUACCCGGACUGCCGUCGUAAGAUGUGAGGAAGGUGGGGAUGACGUCAAAUCAGCACGGCCCUUACGUCCGGGGCUACACACGUGUUACAAUGGGGGGUACAGAAGGCAGCUAC
rnacentral:rRNA from 1 species